GAUACAGCGGAGAGAAAAAAAAAACCCGACCACUCGCAUGACCCUGCCUCCCAAUCCCAUCUCCUCCUGCAGCGCGCCGCCACCUCUUGCCCCGUCCCGCCUCACCGCGCGCCACCAGCCACCACCGCCGCCGAGCUGCCGUUCGUUGCCAGCACCCGCGGAUCCGGACGCCCCUCCCCUUCCCUGUCGGCUGCACCUCCCAGCGCCGGUGCCCUGCCAAGCUCUGCCGCUGGAGGAUCUCCUCCGCUGGAUCCACAUCCCCAUGGCCGGAACGGGACUUCGUCGAGUACCCACGCUCCAUGACGCUCCGGCCGCCCUCUUCCUCUCUGUUCCCUCCCAUCCCUCCUACCCAGCCGAGGCUCUAGGAGCCCUCUUCUCGCUCGUUACCCCUCUUCCUCCCUGUGUCCUUCCGACCCCUUCUCCCGCAGGCUCCAGCCGUGGUGGUGGGGGGCGAGCAGCUGCCGUCCGGUGGCUGGGGGAGUGAGGAGGGCGCCGGUCUAAAGAACGAGAGCUCGGCGCAUGGCGACAAUAUAGAUCGGCUACAGUGGCGGCGACGACCCAACGGCGAAAGGGGAUGGCUGCAUGAUGAUCUUGUUCUGAUCAAUUCUGAAAUAGGAAUGGAGGACUACUGUGGUGGUCACUGUUGAGGAUGCUGGGUUACCUGACAGUAGUUUACUUGCCAGAUUUUAAAUUGGAGCUUAGCAUGAACUGAAGAGAGGAUACUUCAACAUGUAUGUGCUGAAAGGAAAAUUGAUUUGGAAGUUUAUUGUAACUGGUAAACUUGUGGUCACAGGACUGCUAUCUUAAAGUUUGUUAGAUUAUGUAAAUGGGUAAUUUUGUGGUCUGCUCUUUAGGUUUCCAUAGUAUGAGUUGGUGCUCUUGCUUUAAACUGCAAUCUAAACUGAACAAUGGGUCUUCAUGUAUAAACUGGAGCAAUAAUAUCAGAUUACUUCCUGUUUCCUUUGGCUUUGUAGCCUAGAAUUUUUUAACAUGUGCAUAUAUAGCUACUUAAUCAACCGAGUUCCUUUAUGCUCUAUGGUAGACCACACUUACUGAUAUGACUUACUUUCUCAUUCUAUAUAAUGGCAGGUGUAGCAAUGAAAGGCCUAUAUAUUCUACCACAAGCAUCCUAGCUUGCUCAUCUUAUUAGCGACUCACUUUCAAAACAUAUGUAUUGGUAGUUUUUAUCUCUAUGCUUUGCCUUCCACAUACUAGAUUGCAAUGUGUUUGUCUUGAUCCAAUCCUUCGUGCGCCCAUGGGGUGUCCGACAGCGACUGAUUUGGCCGUUCUAGAGGCCCAACACAUAGAAAUACACAUCCACUCCCUCGACUGAAGCCUGAACCCAAUUGCGUCGUUUCAUCCGUGCUCGACAUUGGUGUCUUGCCGUUCUGCCGAAGUCAUGGAAAUCUCACUGUUCUGCCAACCUAGCCGGAAUUUCUCCGUACUGCCGACUUCAUCGGAAUUACAUCUGCCCAUGUAGCCAAGGUACAUCAUUCAAACUGCUCGAGUCAUACUGAUUUGGAGUUGUUUUGGUCAAGCGAUUGAACUGAACCGUGCUACUGCACAAUAGCCAAAAGGAGAGUCGGUUUGUUUCUCCGACCCGUGUGAUUUGAAGCACAUAAACUGAACCAUGCUAUUGCACAAUAGCCCAAAGUUUGUCUGAUUUAUAUGAGUAUCAUAAUAUAAUUUUGUUUCUACUAUAUGUAAUAGGUAACCAACAAUGUUGUUUUCAGCUUACAAGAAUGCUGAUGUUGUUUGAAUGCAUAUAUAAUUAUUGGAAUUAGUUUGAAUGCAUAUACAGUACCUUGACGUUGAAUUUACAAGGUCCUGAUGUUGGAUUUACUGUCUUAUAGAUUUUGUAAUUUAAAGUUGCUCCACAAAGUUGGUGACUGUUGUUUGUAUAGUGAGCUGAUAUAGAAUGCUUCAUCACACAAACUAAUCUAGCUGCAUCAGUAUGGUGAUGGUGGAUUUACACUGCCCUAUAGAUUUUGAAUUUACAAUAUGGUGAUGGUGGAUUUACACUGCCCUAUAUAUUUUGUAAUUUAUUGUAGUAGCUGACUAGUUGUAGCUCCAUAUAGUGUGUCAUUGUUGUUUGUACGGUGAGUUCAUAUAGAAUGCUUGAUCACAUGAAUUUUUAUGAAUGUAUAUUACAUUUUCCUGGUGUUUAAUUUAUAAUACAUUGAUGAUGGAUUUAUGGUCCUAUAGCUUCUGUAAAUUUUAGUAGUUCUUUUGUGACUGCUGUUUUUACAGUGAGAUAAUAGUGAAUUUUCCAGUGGCCACCGCUUUCUGAGAUCACCAUCACUACCUAGCACUCUGAUUUUGCUAUAACUGUUGUCCUCCUAAUAGGUUAUACUUUCUCUUUCUACUUCUUUUGCUUUGCCAUGUUUGUUGCAGUUCAUUGUGAUUCAUUUAUACUCAUUGUACCUCGAUGCUGCAACAAUGGUAACUGAGAAUCCGGCAACACUCAAAUAGAAGUCAAAGAAUUCUUGUCCUUCUCUUGCGUUGAACUCCAUUUCUAGGUGCGGCAUUAUAAUGCUCUCAGUGUUCAUGACAUUUCCUUCGUGUGCUACAAUAUUUCCAUUUUCCAAGAAAUCUCAAUACCCUCUUCAUUUAAAUACUCAUCUUCCUUUUCAAUCUGCCGUAACUGAUGGUUACCCAUGCUUUUCUCAGCUUCAUUAUUACUCUCUUUAUGUUCCACACAUGUGGCAAAUUGUCUGAAGUGUAUGAAUUUCCCCAUAACAUGAUGGAUCCUUCAUCUUCAACUAACCCGCAGCAAGUGUAUGCUUUUUAUUUAUUUAUUUUCUUCAGGAAUUUUUGUUGCUGAUGCAACCUGGAUAUGUGUUUACAUUUCAGUUUCUCUACUUGAUGUUUCUUAAUUACCUUGUCCAAGUAGAUUGUCAGGAUUUGAAGAAGUUGGAUCAAUACUGGCUUUAUGUAGAGAAACUUUAUGUAGCUUGCUGUCUUGCUGUACAUUGUCUGAAGCUUUAUGUAGCUUGCUGUCCUGUCGUACAUUGUUGUAACUUACAGUUACUGGGUUGUACGGUCAUGUAUCAUCAAACUGGUUUUCUAUAGCAUCUUGUCACUCCUCGUAGAUGAAUAAGUUAUUUUCUGUGAA